rnacentral:misc_RNA from 1 species
AAGUCGUAACAAGGUUUCCGUAGGUGAACCUGCGGAAGGAUCAUUAUCGUACCUCCGGGGAGGGGUCCGGUCGCGCCCUGCUCCGGUCCGAGCGACCGUGCAGCGGGUCCCGGGUCCCGACUCGCCAAACCAAAAGACCCCCCCGUGCUCCUUUACGGCCAGAGGGCGAUGCUGCCGGCGAAAGCCGCUCGCGCCUGAAGCCGCAUCACAACGAACCCCAAGUUUAUAAGAAUGUUCGACGGACUAUGUGCCGCCUACAACCGAAACAACUUUCAACAACGGAUCUCUUGGCUCUC